UCAGCUCAGUGCAAUCUCCGCCUGCUGGAUUCAAGCGAUUCUCGUGCCUUAGCCUCCUGAGUUGCUGGGAGUACAAGCGCGUGCCACCACACCAAGCUAAUUUUGUUCCUUUCUUUGACUUCGCUCCCCAGAAGCAUGAACUGCGAUGAGCACUCCCUUCCUGCCUUUGCUUGUACUGUCUUUUACCCCUGAAACUGCACUCCUGACCCUUUGGCUUUAGGAUACCUGUACAACUCGUUUUUCCAGACAUUCACGAGUCACCUCCAAAUGCUUUCUCGAUCUGACAAUUAUGUGUCUUGGGGUUGAUCUUGUCAUGGAGUAUCUUACUGGAGUUGUCUGGAUUUCCUGAAUUUAAAUGUUGCCCUGUCUUGUUAGGUUGGGGAACUUCUCCUGGAUGAUGUCCUGAAGUAUGUUUCUCCAAAAGCAUGAGCUCCUCAAAGUUCAGGAAGCAAGUCCAAGACUUCACCCUUGAUCUUUUUCCACAGCCCUAUGGGGUGAAUAGAAGCAGAUAUUAGAUACAGCUCACACAUAGAGAAACUGAAGUACACUCCAUCAUUUCUGAGCA
rnacentral:antisense_RNA from 1 species